rnacentral:rRNA from 1 species
UACGAAGGGGGCUAGCGUUGCUCGGAAUCACUGGGCGUAAAGGGCGCGUAGGCGGCGUUUUAAGUCGGGGGUGAAAGCCUGUGGCUCAACCCACAGAAUUGCCUUCGAUACUGGGACGCUUGAGUGUGGUAGAGGUUGGUGGAACUGCGAGUGUAGAGGUGAAAAUUCGUAGAUAUUCGCAAGAACACCGGUGGCGAAGGCGGCCAACUGGACCAUCACUGACGCUGAGGCGCGAAAGCGUGGGGAGCAAACAGGA